rnacentral:tRNA from 1 species
AGUCUUGUAUUCAUGGAUAUGAUAAUAGAAUGCAAUUCUAUAGGAGUAGUAAUUGUAACUACUAAGACUU